rnacentral:rRNA from 1 species
AUUGAACGCUGGCGGCAGGCCUAACACAUGCAAGUCGAACGGUAGCACAGAGAGCUUGCUCUCGGGUGACGAGUGGCGGACGGGUGAGUAACGUCUGGGAAACUGCCCGAUGGAGGGGGAUAACUACUGGAAACGGUAGCUAAUACCGCAUAACGUCGCAAGACCAAAGUGGGGGACCUUCGGGCCUCACACCAUCGGAUGUGCCCAGAUGGGAUUAGCUAGUAGGUGGGGUAAUGGCUCACCUAGGCGACGAUCCCUAGCUGGUCUGAGAGGAGGACCAGCCACACUGGAACUGAGACACGGUCCAGACUCCUACGGGAGGCAGCAGUGGGGAAUAUUGCACAAUGGGCGCAAGCCUGAUGCAGCCAUGCCGCGUGUAUGAAGAAGGCCUUCGGGUUGUAAAGUACUUUCAGCGGGGAGGAAGGCGGUGAAGUUAGUAACUUCACCGAUUGACGUUACCCGCAGAAGAAGCACCGGCUAACUCCGUGCCAGCAGCCGCAGUAA